rnacentral:rRNA from 1 species
GACGAACGCUGGCGGCGUGCUUAACACAUGCAAGUCGAACGGAAAGGCCCUGCUUUUGUGGGGUGCUCGAGUGGCGAACGGGUGAGUAACACGUGAGUAACCUGCCCUUGACUUUGGGAUAACUUCAGGAAACUGGGGCUAAUACCGGAUAGGAGCUCCUGCUGCAUGGUGGGGGUUGGAAAUUUUCGGCGGUUGGGGAUGGACUCGCGGCUUAUCAGCUUGUUGGUGGGGUAGUGGCUUACCAAGGCUUUAACGGGUAGCCGGCCUGAGAGGGUGACCGGCCACAUUGGGACUGAGAUACGGCCCAGACUCCUACGGGAGGCAGCAGUGGGGAAUAUUGCACAAUGGGCGGAAGCCUGAUGCAGCAACGCCGCGUGCGGGAUGACGGCCUUCGGGUUGUAAACCGCUUUCGCCUGUGACGAAGCGUGAGUGACGGUAAUGGGUAAAGAAGCACCGGCUAACUACGUG